GGCGAGUGAAGCGGUAACAGCUCAAAUUUGAAAUCUGGCCUCACGGUCCGAGUUGUAAUUUGUAGAGGAUGCUUCGAGCAUGGUCUGGCCUAAGUUCCUUGGAACAGGACGUCAUAGAGGGUGAGAAUCCCGUAUGCGGCCAGGUGCCUACGCUCAUGUGAAGCUCCUUCGACGAGUCGAGUUGUUUGGGAAUGCAGCUCAAAAUGGGUGGUAAAUUUCAUCUAAAGCUAAAUAUUGGCCAGAGACCGAUAGCGCACAAGUAGAGUGAUCGAAAGAUGAAAAGCACUUUGGAAAGAGAGUUAAACAGUACGUGAAAUUGUUGAAAGGGAAGCGCUUGCAACCAGACUUGCGCGCGGCCGAUCAUCCGGUGUUCUCACCGGUGCACUCGGCCGUGCUCAGGCCAGCAUCGGUUUUGGCGGCUGGAUAAAGGCCCUAGGAAUGUAGCUCCUCUCGGGGAGUGUUAUAGCCUAGGGUGCAAUGCAGCCUGCUGGGACCGAGGACCGCGCUUCGGCUAGGAUGCUGGCGUAAUGGUUGUAAGCGGCCCGUCUUGAAACACGGACCAAGGAGUCUAACAUCUAUGCGAGUGUUUGGGUGUCAAACCCAUACGCGUAAUGAAAGUGAACGGAGGUGAGAACCCUUAAGGGUGCAUCAUCGACCGGUCCUGAAGUUUACGGAAGGAUCUGAGUAAGAGCAUAGCUGUUGGGA
rnacentral:rRNA from 1 species